CACCGCCUGGGGAGUACGACCGCAAGGUUAAAACUCAAAUGAAUUGACGGGGACCCGCACAAGUAGUGGAGCAUGUGGUUUAAUUCGAAGACACGCGCAGAACCUUACCAACACUUGACAUGUUCGUCGCGACUUUAAGAGAUUAAAGUUUUCGGUUCGGCCGGACGAAACACAGGUGCUGCAUGGCUGUCGUCAGCUCGUGUCGUGAGAUGUUGGGUUAAGUCCCGCAACGAGCGCAACCCUUACUUUUAGUUGCUACCAUUCAGUUGGGCACUCUAAAAGAACUGCCAGUGAUAAGCUGGAGGAAGGUGGGGAUGACGUCAAGUCCUCAUGGCCCUUACGUGUUGGGCUACACACGCGCUACAAUGGUACUUACAGUGAGAAGCGAAGAGGCGACUCUAAGCCAAUCCCAAAAAGGUACCUCAGUUCGGAUUGUACUCUGCAACUCGAGUACAUGAAGCUGGAAUUACUAGUAAUCGCGGAUCAGCGCGCCGCGGUGAAUACGUUCCCGGGUCUUGUACACACCGCCCGUCACACCAUGGAAGUUGGUUACACCUUAAGGCAAAGCGUAAAAACUUUGACUACGGUACGAUCAGCGACUGGGGUGAAGUCGUAACAAGGUAGCCGUAGGGGAACCUGCGGCUGGAUCACCUCCUUUCUAAGGAAAUCGAAAAAUAUUAAAACAAUUAUUUUCGAUUUAAAAAAAAUCGGUUAAUGUGACCGUCCUCAUUUCUCUUCUUUUAAUGUCUCUGAGUAAGUGUAAAUAAGGGGCCGGUAGCUCAGGUGGUUAGAGCGCACCCCUGAUAAGGGUGAGGUCGGAAGUUCGAGUCUUCCUCGGCCCACCAAUAUUUCGGGGGGAUUAGCUCAGCUGGGAGAGCGCCUGAUUUGCAUUCAGGAGGUCAGCGGUUCGAUCCCGCUAUCCUCCACCAAAUUUGAGACAUUUAGCUUUUUUAAAUUGUAAAUAUUAUUAAUAUCAAUAUCUAUAUCCGAUUGUUUUCAAAAAAAUAUAUGAAAACAAUCAAACAAAAAUUUAAUUUAUUACAGAAAAGUUUUUUUCUG
rnacentral:sRNA from 1 species